GGGGUGUUGGCUCAGUGAUAGAGCUCUUGCCUGGUAAGUAAGAGGCCAUGAAUUCCAUCCUUGUAUACCACA
rnacentral:tRNA from 1 species